rfam:Granulicatella adiacens ATCC 49175 genomic scaffold SCAFFOLD2, whole genome shotgun sequence.
GCCGAAAUAGCUCAGUUGGCAGAGCAACGCACUCGUAACGCGUAGGUCGCAGGUUCGACCCCUGUUUUCGGCA